CAGUAGCCGCGGUAAUACGGAGGGUGCAAGCGUUAAUCGGAAUUACUGGGCGUAAAGCGCACGCAGGCGGUCUGACAAGUCAGAUGUAAAAUCCCCGGGCUUAACCUGGGAACUGCAUUUGAAACUGUCAGGCUGGAGUCUUGUAGAGGGGGGUGGAAUUCCAGGUGUAGCGGUGAAAUGCGUAGAGAUCUGGAGGAAUACCGGUGGCGAAGGCGGCCCCCUGGACAAAGACUGACGCUCAGGUGCGAAAGCGUGGGGAGCAAACAGGAUUAGAUACCCCUGUAGUCCCUGUCUCUUAUAC
rnacentral:rRNA from 1 species